rnacentral:rRNA from 1 species
CCUACGGGGCGCAGCAGUGGGGAAUAUUGGACAAUGGGCGAAAGCCUGAUCCAGCCAUGCCGCGUGUGUGAAGAAGGCCUUCGGGUUGUAAAGCACUUUCAGUGGGGAAGAAAGCCUUGGGGCUAAUACCCUCGAGGAAGGACAUCACCCACAGAAGAAGCACCGGCUAACUCCGUGCCAGCAGCCGCGGUAAUACGGAGGGUGCGAGCGUUAAUCGGAAUUACUGGGCGUAAAGCGCGCGUAGGCGGUCUGAUAAGCCGGUUGUGAAAGCCCCGGGCUCAACCUGGGAACGGCAUCCGGAACUGUUAGGCUAGAGUGCAGGAGAGGAAGGUAGAAUUCCCGGUGUAGCGGUGAAAUGCGUAGAGAUCGGGAGGAAUACCAGUGGCGAAGGCGGCCUUCUGGACUGACACUGACGCUGAGGUGCGAAAGCGUGGGUAGCAAACAGGAUUAGAUACCCGGGUAGUC